CCCUUAGAUGUUCUGGGCCGCACGCGCGCUACACUGUUCGACGCAGCGAGUCUUAACCUUGACCGAAAGGUUUGGGUAAUCUUCAGCAAAGUCGAACGUGAUGGGGAUCGAUCAUUGCAAUUAUUGAUCGUGAACGAGGAAUUCCUAGUAAGUGCAAGUCAUCAGCUUGCGCUGAUUACGUCCCUGCCCUUUGUACACACCGCCCGUCGCUAAUACCGAUUGAAUGGUUUAGUGAGAUCUCUGGAUUGACGCUGGCUAGGGGGCGACCCUUGGCCAGACUGUUGAGAAACUGCUCAAACUUGAUCAUUUAGAGGAAGUAAAAGUCGUAACA
rnacentral:rRNA from 1 species